UAGAGACUGGGACGUUUAAGACCAAGGUGCUGGCAGAUUGGGUGUCUAGUAAGAAUCUGCUUCCUGCUUCAUAGACAGCUAUCUUCUCGGGGAAGAUUAGGGCACAGACAGACACAUAAGAAUGACCAGGGGAAGACAGGGAGAAGACACAUGUCUACGAGCCAUGGAGAGAAGUUUCAAAAGAAACCAGCCCUGCUAACACCCUGAUCUUGGAUGUUUAGUCUCCAAAAUGCAAGGUGACUAAAGCCAUGAAGUGUUUGGAUCCAGUGAAGCAGAGGAAUGAAGAUGAAAACACCAUGAAAAAUGAAGUUACACGCAAUACUACCCAGAGACAAGACAAUUGCAGACAAUUCUCAAAAAAUUGAAACUCUGAGAAAUAAUUAACUUGGUCAAAGUUUCACACUAUGCGGCAGAUCUGGAAUCGAAACCCAGCUGUUUGACCAUAAACCAAGCUCUGCUUCGUAACAUGUGAGCCCUUUGAAAAGAAAAAAAGUGAUAGACCAGUGCCAUAAAGAAAAUUUUCUUCUCCUUAGUAAAUCCUUCAAUCUUCCAGUGAUAA